GCUGCCUGCUUUCUACCAUUGCUUGCUUGGUUCUCCCAGGAAUAAAUCUUCCCUUGGUUUCUACUGAUGUGUGAUGCUGUUUUGCUAAUUACCUGCCUGUGUACACUCUGUCACCUCCCAGAUCAUUUACAGUAAAUGAGUUUCUGCCUGAUGAAGAUUUGGAUCACUGCUUUGAAAAGGCAGUGCCAUGAGGAGUUACUUCUCUGUAAGCCUGCUGACUGGAGUACUAAUGGCUUUUUGGAAAGAACACCAGCUGCAAGAAAUCACCUCGAUGUCACAGCUUGGAGUCACCCACAGCUGCCACCAGAGAGGGGCCUGUACAGAAGCGGAUUGGAGAAGCACCCAGGAGGUUAUGACCUGGAGAAGCCCAUAGUUAAUGCUCUUUAUAAUCCAGCUGUGUGAGUGAGAGGAAUGGAAGUAAAAGAAUCUGGGGUGAAGUAUAGAGUUGGAGAGAGUCAUGACACUAUAACAGAGGACUCUGUGGGCUUGGAGGUGAUGUGCCUUUCAGGAGGGGUAAUAAGGAGAGAUUAGGUUUAGCAAAAGUUGUUUUGUUUUGGAAUCAGAAAAACCGACUGACCAACCUCCAAUUUGGUUUCCUUCUGUCUAUAGAUCUGUUAAUAGAGGAUGGAAGGAGGGUCUGUCUGAGAUGUUCAUGUUACAGUGCUUAUUUCAUCCUGACAAGGAGACCUAGAUUAAUGUCCAUUUUUUUCUUUUUUGGGGGGGCUUUUUUUGGGCCCCAGUUUGGAGUCUCCUGAUGUUUUUGUUGUCAGGGAUCCUUUGUCAGUGGAAGACAAAGACUCAGUGUAAGUCUUUCUCUGUACUUUCAAACAUUUUAAGUGACCCUCAACUUGGAAAAAACUUAAACUGCUCUCAAUCCACCUUCUCUCUAUCUCACCUGCAGGUUCCUCUUGGCUCAAGCCCUGACCCAAGUGGUCCAAGUACAGAAAAGCUGACUUGAGAUACAAGUGGAUUUUCUAGGCAAAGUUUCACUGGGUCAUGCACUGAAAUAUAUUUUUCAGAUAAGGAAAAUAGCCUCUAUUCUCAUGUACUUGACUUUGUUAAGAAUCUCAGGCAGCAGCAGCUCUUAUAGAUUAAACCAUUGGAGCCAAGAGGGUCUGAAAUUAAUGGGCAGCAAUUUUCUGCCAUUUGUGAUAAAUGUCUUGCCUUCUAUUGCAUAUAAAAAUCUUGAAGAAGAGUCGGAGCAUAAAUACAAGACAGAGAAAUGUUUCUACUUGCUUCCCUCCCAGCCAUUUCUCUAUUGUCUUUUCCAGAUUGCAGCCCUUAGCUUUUUGUUUUGCACUGAAUAGCAAUAAAAAAACACACAACUUUAA